GACGAACGCUGGCGGCGUGCUUAACACAUGCAAGUCGAGCGGAAAGGCCCCCAUCUUGGUGGGGGUGCUCGAGUGGCGAACGGGUGAGUAACACGUGGGUGAUCUGCCCUGUACUUCGGGAUAAGCUUGGGAAACUGGGCCUAAUACCGGAUAGGACCAUGGUUUAGUGUCUCAUGGUGGAAAGAUUAUUGUUUUGGUGCAGGAUGAGCUCGCGGCCUAUCAGCUUGUUGGUGGGGUAAUGGCCUACCAAGGCGUCGACGGGUAGCCGGCCUGAGAGGGUGGACGGCCACAUUGGGACUGAGAUACGGCCCAGACUCCUACGGGAGGCAGCAGUGGGGAAUAUUGCACAAUGGGCGCAAGCCUGAUGCAGCGACGCCGCGUGGGGGAUGACGGCCUUCGGGUUGUAAACUCCUUUCGUUAGGGACGAAGCCGCACUUUUUUUGGGUGUGGUGACGGUACCUUUGUUAAGAAGCACCGGCUAACUACGUG
rnacentral:rRNA from 1 species